rnacentral:tRNA from 1 species
UCUAAUAUGGCAGAAAUUAUGCAAUGGAUUUAAACCCCAUUUAUAAAGAAUUUUUAUCUUUUUUUAGAA